CUCGUAGCAUAUAGCUCAGUAACACGUGGCCAAACUACCCUACAGACCGCGAUAACCUCGGGAAACUGAGGCCAAUAGCGGAUAUCACUCUCACACUGGAGUGUCGAGAGUGAGAAACGUUCCGGCGCUGUAGGAUGUGGCUGCGGCCGAUUAGGUAGAUGGUGGGGUAACGGCCCACCAUGCCGAUAAUCGGUACAGGUUGUGAGAGCAAGAGCCUGGAGACGGUAUCUGAGACAAGAUACCGGGCCCUACGGGGCGCAGCAGGCGCGAAACCUUUACACUGCACGACAGUGCGAUAGGGGGACUCCGAGUGUGAGGGCAUAUAGCCCUCGCUUUUCUGUACCGUAAGGUGGUACAGGAACAAGGACUGGGCAAGACCGGUGCCAGCCGCCGCGGUAAUACCGGCAGUCCAAGUGAUGGCCGAUAUUAUUGGGCCUAAAGCGUCCGUAGCU
rnacentral:rRNA from 1 species